rnacentral:rRNA from 1 species
AACGAACGCUGGCGGCAUGCCUAACACAUGCAAGUCGAACGAGACCGUCGGGUCUAGUGGCGCACGGGGGCGUAAGGCGUGGGAAGCUGCCCGUAGGUUCGGAAUAACUCCCCGAGAGGGGUGCUAAGACCGGUGAAGGUCUUAGGGCCAAGGAGUUAUCGCUAUUGGGUGGGGGCGGGUUGGUUUCGCCGGUUGGUAGGGGAAAAGCGUGCCAAGGGGACGAUGCUGAGCUGGUGUGAGAGGAGGAUAAGCCACACUGGGACUGAGACACGGCCCAGAACCGGACGGGAGGGAGCAGUGGGGAAUACUGGACAAGGGGCGAAGGCCUGACACAGCCAUGCCGGGGAAGUGAUGAAGGCCGUAGGGUUGUAAAGCUCUUUUACCCGGGAUGAUAAUGACAGUACCGGGAGAAGAAGCACCGGCUAACUACGUG